rnacentral:rRNA from 1 species
CAGCAGCCACGGGAAUGCGAAGGGGGCUAGCGUUGCUCGGAAUGACUGGGCGUAAAGGGCGCGUAGGCGGCGGCCAAAGUCAGGCGUGAAAUUCCUGGGCUCAACCUUGGGGCUGCGCUUGAUACUUGGUUGCUUGAGUGGGGAAGAGGGUCGUGGAAUUCCCAGUGUAGAGGUGAAAUUCGUAGAUAUUGGGAAGAACACCGGUGGCGAAGGCGGCGACCUGGUCCUUGACUGACGCUGAGGCGCGAAAGCGUGGGGAGCAAACAGGAUUAGAUACCCCUGUAGUCCCUGUCUCUUAUAC